ACUUGAUUUGCUUUUUAGUUUCUUUCCACUCCAUUGGUCUGUAUGGUACUCGGUUCAUUUCAGGAGAUAUUUGUUUUUGAUUUAGGGACAACCAAAAGGGGAGCUUGGCAAAGAGCGGAGCCAACAGGUCUCCUGACAACCUGCUUCCAACCAAUGCCUCCUCUGCACACUGGACUCGUGCAUCUCUCAGCCCAGCAGAUCACCUCUAACAGCCCACCUCAACAACAGGCGAUUACUGGGAAGGCUGUGGCUGAGAGUAAAACUGAGCAUACAUUCAGCUCCUGAGAUGUACAAGUUACGCUUGAAAUGUAGAAACGUGUGAAGAAAGGAAAAUUAGGUGGAACAACAUCUGUGUAAGGAGCUCAACGCACUGCUGCCUUUCUGCAGAGCUUGCAAUGCAUGACCAGUUGGGAGAGCUCGUUGUUGUUGCAGAUCUUGCCCUCUGAGAUUCAGUCAGAAACUUUAUGCAUUGCUCUGUCUCGCGCAUAGCUUUCUGCAUGCUUUCCUCCUGCAUGCUCUCAAUCACAUACUCCUGCCUUGAUAUUAAAGUUACAUCUGCAUGAUGUUUCAUUACCUUGCCCAGAGCUUGCUCGGGAUUCUCUGAGCCACCACAUCAUCCUACAUACCUAGGCCCAAAAUCCUAUAAGGAGUCUCACAGCUGAGGCUUAGUUGUGUGCUGAAUAUAUAUGACCACUCUGGAGCACACACACCUCAAACCUCUGUCUGGCUGCAAACCACAAUAGCCCCACUGGGGACACAGGAGUGUCACAGUUCUCCUGCCUAGCCACAUUCCUUUCUUUUUCCAUGUCUUUUCAGCUCCUCACUGCAGCUUGUACAUUAUGUGAGACUCACUGGCUGCGAUGACAGGGGACCAACAAGACAAUAACUGAAGGUUGGCUGAGCAGGACAUCCACUUUAUUACUGCACACUCAGCCCCCCUCAAAAAAUACUGCACCCAAGCAACCUGUGAAUUUCUAUGUAAGCAGUAACUAAAGAAAAUAAAUGAGUAAAGGGAGGAACA
rnacentral:lncRNA from 1 species